AAUCUACUCAUGUUUUUUGGAAAUCUUUCAUCCUCUCUGAAUUUAUUCCGUAAACGUUCUUAGCGAUCAUGUUAAGCUGCUAUUGUGACAUUAACAUUCCAAAAGUUUUCCCUUCGGAAAUUUUGGUCAGGGCCAAAUUUAGUUCCCAAGGGGGGCGAAUACACUAUGGAUUUAGGAGGUCGAGAUUCAUACACCCGGCACUAGGCCUACAGCUGUAUCCUGAGAAAGCAUUAGAACAAGAGCGGCAAAAGGUAAAAGUAAACCAGAACACAAGUAUAACAGGAGAAAAUGUGAGAUUUCAAUUUAAAACGUGACACCAGUUAAAAGCAUGGUUUUUACCAUUCCAAAAAUAUAUCACAUCCAGAGUCUUUUUUUACGGCAUUUUCGGAUGUGAAGCGUCAACCGGGGGCCGUUGGCAUGAGUUAAGACUUGGGGGUUAUGCAGGGAGCCGUCAAUAAGUUCCCCCGGGAGAGGAAAAUUCCAAAUAACUCCGACAUUUUCAUUUUUCAGGGGCUGUAUUUUGAAUGAAAAUUAUACGACUAAGUAUAUAUUAUUAGGCCUACUACGUUUUCAGAAGAUUCAUAGUAAGAAGUGCUUCUUUUUAUCCUCUUACAAGAGAAGCCUGCAGCAUCAGCAGCUGUUCUAAAGGCUAUCAUUGGUAGUAGGAGGCCUAAGUACUUCAGCCCCACCAAGGUUGGGGAACAAAUUUGAUUAUGACCCCUAUAGAUUGCCGGAAAUGUCACUCUCAUACUUAAAUUUGUAUAUAAUAUUCUUAUUUUCCCCGGUGUUUUUUUUUUUUUUUGUCUUAAUUUAGGAACAUUUAUGGUCCUGGCCACUGAAGAAAUGAAAUGAACACAGUGGCCUAAUCAAUAAUUAAGCUUAAUUAAUUUUUUUUCACCUAUUAGGUUGGAAAUUAUUUUAGAUUAUUGUUUUUAGGUAUAUUUUUUUCAAUGGGCCCCUAAUAGCCUUUUGGCCCACCAUAGUAGAAUGUUGUCAACCGAUGAGGGCGCUCAAUUGUAAACAGUAAACACACACUACUACAUGCUUGCAACAUCAGCGUGAGCUGACUGCAUUUCUAAGAGCGAGCUUGUUGUAGUACGUCGGAUUUUACUGUUCAGCAUCCUUUUAUAAAAACAGCUUGACUGAUUCAGUGGAGCAUUUGACGAGCAUGGAUGAGGUUAUAAGCUUGGAGGAAUGUUUGCAAACAUUGGCUCUAGAGGCUCGUGAAUUAUAUUUACGUGACUCUGUGCCUGUUCUCGACACUGAACCCUCUCCUCUUCAGUUCUACAAGGACUUCGUCUCCAGUAAUGCUCCGUUCAUUAUUAGGAAUUGUGUAAGCCACUGGCCAGCAUUGAGCAAGUGGAAUUACAAGUACCUUAAAGAGAAACUUGGAGAUCAAUCGGUUAGUGUUGCCGUGACACCAAAUGGAUACGCCGAUGCAAUCCAUGAUGGCUUUUUUGUGAUGCCCGAAGAGCGGCAAAUGAAAAUGGGGGAUUUUUUGGACACGCUUUCGAGUGAGCCGGUAUCUAAAGCUGUGUUUUAUCUUCAGAAGCAGAAUUCAAAUCUCACAACAGAGUUGUCCUGUCUGGUGGAUGAUGUGGAUGAGCACAUCUCCUGGGCUACAGAGGCCUUAGGCAAACUUCCUGAUGCUGUAAAUUUCUGGCUUGGGGAUAAGAGAGCAGUGACAUCUAUGCAUAAAGACCAUUAUGAGAACCUGUAUUGUGUCAUCUCAGGUGAAAAGCAUUUCACACUACUACCACCCACUGAAACGUAUUUCGUACCAUAUGGUGAUUUUCCAGCUGCUGUGUACAAAGAAAAUUCAGAAGGGGACUUUGACAUAAUCCCUCAACCGGAUAUAGGAACUGUCCCAUGGGUAACAGUCGACCCACUCUCACCAAAUCUGAAAAAGAACCCAGAGUUUGCCCAAGCUCGACCAAUUAAAUGCACUCUAAGAGCUGGUGACCUUUUAUAUCUACCUUCUCUCUGGUUUCACCACGUUCAUCAAUCGCACGGAUGCAUUGCUGUUAACUACUGGUAUGAUAUGGAAUUUGACAUCAAGUACAACUAUUUCAAAUUUACCGAGUCUAUUGGCGAUAUAUGCCGAUACCACCAUAAUGAAAAGAGGGGAAGAAAGAAAAAAGAAACGGAUUAGAACCAGGGGAUGAAGUGAAAGUCAGGGUUUUGUGCAAUUUCUGAUCACAAUAUGUUUAUUUUUUAAUAUGUUACUUCAUGUUAGGUUCAAAAUACUCUCUGUGCCUUGAGACGAUUUUAUUGUGGAACGCACUCUACAAAUAUUCUGCCAUUACCACCUAUACUGUAGUAUCUGCUGUACUUACUACUAUCCACAGGUUCACUUUUUUUGGAUUUUUGUUUCCAUGGAUAAUAAAAAAUAUAUAGAAAUUGUAUUGCAACUCUUGGUUGCCAUAUACGCUUGGAGUUCAUCAUUUUUUUUCAUCCAGAGGUAAACUAGAACAGAUUACAGCAAACAUCCCUUGAGUUCAUUUUCGCUUUGACUCGAUUAGCCUCAUUAUUUUACAUGUGCAGCUGCAAACAACAUUCCCUU